rnacentral:rRNA from 1 species
CGCAGCGACGCCGCGUGGGUGAUGAAGGCCUUCGGGUCGUAAAGCCCUGUCGAGGGGGACGAACCAGCCCGGCCCUAAUACGGUCGGGCCCUGACGGUACCCCUAAAGGAAGCCCCGGCUAACUACGUGCCAGCAGCCGCGGUAAUACGUAGGGGGCAAGCGUUGUCCGGAAUCACUGGGCGUAAAGCGCGCGCAGGCGGCUGUCUACGUCCGGGGUGAAAGCCCAGAGCUCAACUCUGGGACUGCCUUGGAUACGGGAUGGCUUGAGGAUCGGAGAGGCAAGGGGAAUUCCACGUGUAGCGGUGAAAUGCGUAGAGAUGUGGAGGAACACCUGUGGCGAAGGCGCCUUGCUGGCCGAUUUCUGACGCUGAGGCGCGAAAGCGUGGGGAGCAAACAGGAUUAGAUACCCUGGUAGUCCACGCCGUAAACGAUGAGUGCUAGGUGUUGGGGGGUACCACCCUCAGUGCCGAAGCUAACGCAUUAAGCACUCCGCCUGGGGAGUACGGUCGCAAGACUG